CGAGGCCCGUGUACUGCAGGGAGUCCCAGUGAGGUACAGCCCCGUGGUGGAGGCCGGCUCGGACAUGGUCUUCUGGUGGACCAUCAACGACAAGCAGUCCCUGACCUUCCAGAACGUGGUCUUCAAUGUCAUUUAUCAGAGCGCGGCGGUCGGCCGUGGAGGUGGCCUUCCUGUGGACCUUUGGGGAUGGGGAGCAGGCCCUCCACCAGUUCCAGCCUCCAUACAACGAGUCCUUCCCGGUUCCAGACCCCUCGGUGGCCCAGGUGCUGGUGGAGCACAAUGUCACCCACACCUACUGGCAUCUAAUGCCUUCGAGAACCGGACGCAGCAGGUGCCUGUGAGCGUGUGCGCCUCCCUGCCCUCUGUGAGUGUGUGCGCCUCCCUGACUGGGGCCUGCUGGUACCCCAGAGUGGGUGUCUGUUCCCCAGUCCCUGCUUUCCUC
rnacentral:lncRNA from 1 species